UCUCAGGCUGGCUGUACAGACCAGAAAUCCUUUUUGCUCGUACCCUUUGGAAGACACAGUCCCAUUUCCAGAGUGACUCAUGUGCCUAAGCUAUACUAACCUAUUGGAACAGAGAGGAAAGCCCAUUCCUUACUCGCUGGCAAACAAGAAACCUAGCAGGUUAUUUCCACAAACAAGUGAAAUGGGCAGCCAGCAAGAGAGGCACCAACCUGAAGCAAUCACUGUAAAAUCAGGAACUGAAAGAUCCUGCCAAGAUUUCAGGAGCUGCCAAGAAAGUUAAUCCUUCUCUGGAAGAAAAGGUACACUUUGCCAUUCUACAGCAGGCAGCAAAGGACUCCAGUGGUUCCUACAGCAAAAACAUACAGGAAAUCUGCUCUUCCAGCAACUGCAUAAUAAGAAACUAUCAUAUGAAUUUUGAGAAAAGUGAUGUAAUUGAAAAUAAACCCAUCAGUGAUUAAUGCA